GGGCCCCACCCCAGAGUUUCUGAUUCAGUGAGCCUGCGGGGACCUCAGAGUGCGCAUUUGUAACGAGUUCCAGAGGAUGCAGGUGCUGCUGGUCCAGGGACCACGUUCUGAGAACCACUGGCUGAGAACGCAUAACAUGACUCAGAGGCGCGGUGGUGAGGACCCACGAGCUGACUCGACCAGGCGCCAGGAUUCAGGCAGCAGCUUCACAGCCAGCUAGCUUCGUGAUCUCUGCAGCAACUCUUCACCUCGAUGACCACAAUGACCCGAUCUGGCUACUUCACGUGGUUUGAAGGCCCCCUUAGGCAGGCUUCACUAAGAAGAUUGUGUGUGUGUGCUGAUUCUUUGUUUAUUUUUGUGGGCUCCAGUCCCAGGAUCAAAUGGUACUCAACAGCUGGAAGUGGCAUUUACUUGGAACCAAACAGGGAUGAAAAGCUCAUGAUUCUGCAAAAUUUUCUGCGGCAACUUGCCAAGACCUUUCGACACAGCUGGAUGCCUAUUACGCUCUGCGAUGGAGCGUCCUGUAAAACCCGUUACAUUUCUACAAAUCAAGUUCAGCUUGACAGUUUGACUCCCUCUUCCCGCUGCGAACUUUACUCUCAGUGCGCAGAGUGUGCUGGCUGUGUCUCCUUUGGUGGAAGUGUGUGUCUUUCUAGUGUGGUUGAGGCAAUGGGGCCCGGAGGAGACUUCCCAGGCACACUUGGCAGUGUCUGGAGACAUUUUGGUUAUUAUUACUGUCAAGGAGGGAAACUGCUGGCAUCUUGGGUCCAGGCCAAGGAUGCUGCUAAAUGUCCCACAAUGCACAGGACAGCCCCCCCCAGCAAAGUAUUACCCACCCCCAAAUGUCAAGAAUGCCGUGGUUGAGAAACCCUGGACCACAGAAUGGAGCAGGUUCACAGGGGAAUCACCAUAACAGAUCUUACCCAGUGCCACUUCCUGCCCAGCUCCCGGGGCUUCCAGUGACCUUGGCACAUGGUCACUGCUGCAACCCAUUGAAAGAAGCAAUGUCUACACAAACAAGUGACAGCAAAUGGCAGAACAAGGCAGCGCAUGACUAACAGCACCGGGGUCCUGCAGACACGCCUGCCCUGGGAGUUCAGGGGGAAUCAGCCUCGGGGGGCUGGACAGCCAGCCAGGAGAGCUUCCUGGAGGAGGCAGGCUGGACUGGGGGAAGGAGUGGCACAUAGCUUUUCCAGCUUAACUUUUACUUUUUAAUUUUCUUUAUGAUGCUUUUAAAAAACUGACAUUUUUAGUUGAAUUUAUCUGUUUUUCCAUUUAUAGGUCUGGAUUUUUGUGUCACACUUACAAAGGCCUUACCCCCACUCUAAGACAAUUGAAAUUCUCACAUGGCGUCUUCUAGUAGUUUCAUAAUUUCAUUUUUCAUGUUUACAUCUUUGAUUCCUUUUUGUGUGUGUGUGCAAUGAUUCCAACCUUUUUUUCCCCAGAUGGUGUCCCCACACCAUUGCCAUAAUCCUCCGACUCUCCCAGUCAUCCCAUCCUCCACUUUUCCCAUGCGUCAAUGCCCAGAUGUU
rnacentral:lncRNA from 1 species